GUACUUUUACAACUAUUUAUGCAUCAUUUGAGUUUACCUUUAAUUUAUAGUACUAUGUAUUAUUAUAGUAUAGUGUUGUAGUCCUUGUUAAUGAUUAAACCAAUAUCGUAGAAACUUUUAUGUCUAGUAUAUUAUACAGGUGCAAGUGAAGCCAAUCUUUUCGUUUAGGUUUUUUUUUUUUGAGAAAGGUAAUACUUACCAAAUUUACACGGUAUUGACUUUGCUUAGCUAGCAUAGAUUACGUAGCCACGUUGUAUAGUUUCUAUUUGUUUAACAAAUUCUUAUAUACUACAAUCAAUUAUACAAAUACAUGUUUUGAGAAAAAUUAAAAAUACUAUAUAAUAUGCACAUGAAAUUUCUAGAAAUGAUCAAACAAUUGUUCUGCAAUUUCUUUUUGGUACAUGUAAAGAGGUACGCAUGCGUUUGUUAGACUUGCAAAAAUAAAUAUUAUAUAGAUAAAAUGUUUAAAAAAAAGAAAGGAAAACUAUUAUAUACUACUAGUAGAUAGAAAUAAUACAGUUGAUGAGGCGCCACAUGGGUCGUGACCAUUAUUGGUUGGAGUCGUCGGUGUUCUGCAGAAUAUAAAUGUCAAAAUGUGAGUUCAGUCAAUCAAAAACCACAUUCUCGCGAUUGUUUUUUUUGGCCGGAGUUGGCUAUCAAAACCUAGCUAGUAGCUAGUUAAGAGCAGUUUGGCAUGAGCUUCGAGUAUAAGGUGUGAGUCCGCUUUGAAAAGGAUCAUGAACCAACCUGGUUCACUGAAUAUGCCGAGACCAUGUAUCAUGCGCGUUAACAUACGAGCUUAGUAAUGGAGUCGUCGAAUACAACAACACGUGCUUUCGAUAACCUCAACAUGGACAUUCUGAAUUUUCUAAGCAUUCUACCGCUCAACUGUAUACCUCAACAUUUAUGAGUUUGAGUUUUGUGUUCAUUCAUUAUAUUCAUCAAAAUUAGUAUUCUUUAAUUCGAUCAAUAAAGCAACUUAAAUUUCUUUUCUUAUAA